rnacentral:rRNA from 1 species
AUUGAACGCUGGCGGCAUGCCUUACACAUGCAAGUCGAACGGUAACGCGGGGGCAACCCUGGCGACGAGUGGCGAACGGGUGAGUAAUACAUCGGAACGUACCCAGUAGUGGGGGAUAGCUCGGCGAAAGCCGGAUUAAUACCGCAUACGACCUAUGGGUGAAAGCGGGGGAUCGCAAGACCUCGCGCUAUUGGAGCGGCCGAUGCCGGAUUAGCUAGUUGGUGAGGUAAAGGCNCACCAAGGCUACGAUCCGUAGCUGGUCUGAGAGGACGACCAGCCACACUGGGACUGAGACACGGCCCAGACUCCUACGGGAGGCAGCAGUGGGGAAUUUUGGACAAUGGGCGCAAGCCUGAUCCAGCCAUGCCGCGUGUGUGAAGAAGGCCU